rnacentral:lncRNA from 1 species
GAACGAAGGAAUGAAGGAAGGAAGAAAGGAAAGAAGAAAGGAAGGAAGGAAGGAAGGAAGGAAGGAAGGAAGGAAGGAAGAAACAUGCAGGUCACUCAAAAACUAAUGCUAGUUUUCAAAGGGUCAAGAACACUGUUUAGAAAUCAAUGUGUAAGCACCGGUGCUGAAAGGUUAGAAACCUAUUGACGUGGGUUUAUUAAAAGGAGAUGGUGCUGGGUAGGCUGAAUGAGCUGUGGUUGAUAUCUGAUGAAAGAAGAGUCCCAGACAUGGUCACUGGGGUUGUUUAAAUAAUUACAUUUGGGGCACACAGAGGAGCCUUUAUUAGAAAAUUAGCAAAUAACUUCUGGAGACAGAGAUGCAUCUUAAAUUAAAUUUCUUUUAUCUUUCCUGCAUCUACUGCGCCUUGCCCUUCUCCCGAUCUUUCCCAUCUUCCCUAAUCUAAGAGCAGCAGUGGCAUGGAGAAGAGGAGUAUGUCACUCCUGAGGCCACUGCAGACCUAUAUAUAACUCACAGAAAACCACCACCCAAAAGGGUUGUUUCCCAGGAGGAAACCGCACGUUUUAGCCUCAAAUAAUACAUAAAAAUUGAAAUAAACCACACACACACACACAAAGGCAUACACAGAGAGGCACAUACACACACAUGCACACAAAGGCACACACACACAGACGUGUGCGUACACACACACACACACACACAGGCGCACACACAAAUGCACACACAUAAAAGCACAUACAUAUACAUGCACACGGAUGCAUGCACACAAAGACACACAUGCACACACCCACACAUGCACACACACACACACACACACACACACACACACACACACACACACACACACAUUUGAAAAGAAAAUGUUUUAAAAGAAUUGCUGUACAAAGCUCUGUGAGGCUCCACAGAGUCUGCAAAGCUCUUUUUCACUUUUCCUGUUCAGGGUGCAGCUUUGUAGACUACAAAUGACAUAGCACUGUAAACACCAUCUUUAGAGAAGAAGUAGAAGAGGCACCAUUUCUUUUAACUUUAGAAGCAUUUUACGAAGGGAAGAAAAUAAAAUAUAAGAUUGCUUAAGUUUUAUCAGGUAAAGCAAUGAUAUUCAUUUAGUCAUCUAUUCAGCAAAUAUUUGUCAAAGCCACAAUAAUUGUCAGGCACUAUUCCAGAGCCUGGGGUGAUAGCAAUAAACAAGACAGAGUUCCUGUUCUCUUGGGUUUUCUAUUCCAGUGGAGGGAAACAGGCAAUAAACAAGACAUAAAAAGCGAUUGAGUCCAAUGACGAAGAUGAUUCAAAGGUUAGCAUUCCUACAGCCUUCAUCCAGUAGCUGUUCGAAGCAGAAACAGGCACCCACAGCUAAACACGGAGCCAUACUCCUGGAAUACAAUUGCAGAGAGGGAAGAGGGAUGAGCAAAGGAGCCAAGACGGUGCUGCAGAAACCUGCAGAAACAGUGGACCUGACAUAGUGAGAACAAGGAGACUCUAGACAUAAAGCUGGGGAACCAGCAAUGGACCGAACCAAGCCCUUGGAAUUUGGGUGCCAGCUAGGAGACCAAGACAGUCUAUGGGACCUCUAACAGUGGAGCCAGCGUUUAUCCAUAGAGCACAAAUGGACUUUGGGAGCCCAUUCCCUAUGGAGGGAUACUAUUGCAGCCCAGAUACAGCUAGGAGGGCCUGGGCCCUCCCCCAGAUGAUGUGACGGACUUUGAUGGUCCCCCCCCAGGGCCUCACUAUCCCUGGGGAGGGGGUGGGAGAUGGGUUGGAGGGUUGGUGGGGAGCAUGGGAGGAUGAGGGCAAGGAAUGGGGGGAUGGGUAUGCAAGUAAGAGUGCUUCUAAAAUAAGAUAGAUAGAUAGAUAGAGAUUUCACCAUUUCAGAUCAUAUCCUGGUGCUUGGCAAGAUACUCAUAAAUUGCCUUAUUUAUGAAAUCACGUAUUUCAGAUCCAUGACCUCCUUGUCUUCCAUUAUGAAUUGUAAAGUUAUGAGUACAAUACCACAUUUGGAAUCAAAUGCUUGAAGCCUAGGCCAACAGCAUUCUUCUGUUUUAGGAAACAAUCACUUGUGUAUCUGAGCCAAGGACAGGCUACCGCCAUCAGAAAGGUCCAUUUUUAGAACUGUCCUUUGAUUUCAAAAUGUCUGUUGAGAGCAUCACAUGUCUUGGGUGCUGGUGGCCUGUCUCUACCACUCAGCAUGGGUAACUGUGUUCUACUGAGGUUUACAGUCAUGAAGACACCCCCACUGCUGAUGUUUUACACGCCUAACAUGGUAGGCACGAUGGUAGCAGCCUGCCAAUUACAAACUACAUCCAUUCUGAUAUUUCUUGAUCAGAAACUCUUCUCUUUUACUUCUGUUUCUAAUCCCACUGUUGUGAUGGUUUGAAUAUGUUCCCCUCAAAGUCCAUGUGCUGCAAAUGACCCCCAGUGCAGUGCAGGCUGUUGAGGGGGCCUAAUGGGAGUUGCUCAGGUCAUGGGAAAACCACCUCUUGACAGAUUAAUGUCACCAUGAUGUGAGUCAGUUUAUUACUGUUUUAAAAAGGGUGUUGGGGCUUGGGAAAUGGUCCGUUCAGUAAGUGCUUGCUGUGAAAGCAGAAGAAGCAGAGUGUGAGCCCCAGUACCCACAUAAAAGGCAGACCUGAGUACACGUACCUAUAGUCUUAGCACAUUGGAAGUGGAGAAAGACGGGUCUAAGACCAACGAAAGUGGUAACCACGCAUUCAACUCCAUGCUGCCAUCCAACUGUGAGCAUCUUCUUAAAUUUACAGUGGCAUUAAAGAAGAAAUCAUACUCUAGGUUUCAGAAGAUUCGUUGAAGGUCACAGUGGCAAGAGUCUAGAUCAGCAUCGAGCAUCAUAAACCACCAUGUCCCCAUUUCUUUGGACCUAGAGAUUUGCUGUUUGAGCAAGUGCUCUCCGACCUGCUUCUCCUGGGUCCAUUGUCCCAGCACCUGCUAUUCUGGGCAGCAGUUCACAUACCAGCUGUAGUUCCCACGGGGCUCAUAGAAUCUCUACCACUGCUGAGCUGGGACGGCAUACCAUUUGCUCAAUUAAAAUUGUGAAGCUUUUCUCCUUUCCUCUAAUCAUACUCACCACUGGUUUUGCUUAGCUCCUUGGGCAUUUGGAUUUUCUAUGACAAACACUUUCAUGCCAGUAUGAUUCUCCCUGAGUGUCUCACAUGAGAAAUGUUCAAAUUUCAUUAUGUAUUUAGAUUGAAGCAAUAUUGAUAUCAGAUGGGUGUAUUUCACUCAUAGUCCUGAUCUGGCCUGUAACAUGUACAUGGUUCAAUGCCAAAGUAGGGGUUGAAUGUCAGGGUCCUGAGGGUAAGAACUUUGUUCACCCAAAUGCCAUCUACUCAGUCUUUAGUAAGUCUCUACACUUAUAACACAGGCUUCCACUGCAAACCCCCAAUUUACAACUUCCACUAUGUACCUACCAAAUAUCUUACACUGCAUAUUUAAUAGACACCUCAACUUAACAUACCAUUAAAAAAAUCCAAUGUGUGAUAUUCCCCAGGGCAUGUUUUUCCCUUAGUUCCACAAUCUACUUGUAAAUAAAACCUUAUCUUCCCAGUCGCUUAGGUGGAAAGCCUUGGCAUUACCUUUAACGCCCUCUGCUUCCACAACAUCCAAUCAGCAGCCAACAUUGCUGCUUCUGGCUUCAAGAUAGAGACGGAAGUUUUAGAAAGGAAAGGAUUUUUUCAAAAGUCUAAUUACAAGCCAAGAACUUCACAUAUGCUGACUACUCAAUAAACCUGGGCCGUGUGACUGCUAAGUAAUCCGUGGCUCCCGGCGAACCUGAGUCUCCAGGGGUGUUUGCUAUUGAGCACACGAAGAUGGUCACUCACUAUUCUAGAGACCAUGGAUUCCAAGGAAAACACACACAGGCAGUUUAAGACUUCACAAAGAUCCCUCAUGCAGUGCGAGGGAGCCUGCCUUGUGGGACACCCUGACACUCACAGCACGGUCCCAGGAGUCCAGGCCUGGAUGGGCCUCUCCCUCAGACCACCACAUGGGUGUUAAAGCAAUAGUCACAGGAGUUCUCCUAGAUUCACACUGAGCGGACACUUCUGGUUUCACACUAGGCCCCCAUUCCCAUCUCCUUUCGACCUUAGGACACAAGAAGCUUCCUGUUUCUCUGAAAACAGAACUCAAUACCUUUGAAAAAGGGCCCAGAAUUUAGAAAAGCCAGUUUGUACUCCCCGGGGGAUGAAAGGGCCCAGAAUUUAGAAAGGACAAAGACCUUCUUUUACUCUUUCUCAGUGUGUGUGUGUGUGUGUGUGUGUGUGUGUGUGUGUGUGUGUACGAGAGCCACAGAGUCAGAAAGAGAAUGAUCACACUCACGUGUAUGCCCCCUAUACAAUUCCUCUCCUAGAGUCAUUUGCUCAUCUUUUCUUCAAUGGGCAAUGACUUUAUUAAUCUUAUAUUGUUGUUUGAAUAUUGGGGGAGAUUGAAAGAUUUUUAGAAGUCAAAGUGAUAUGUAUAGUAGAGCACAUUUGAAAAUAUAAACCAUAUGAGAGAUGUGAACCAUAUAAACCGUAAUGAGAGAUUGGGCAUUUGGCCAAGAGCCUAAGGGGUUUAAUUAAUUGUAACCUAUACAGCUCUGUGGUAGGAGUGGAUGGAGCAGACAGAGGCUUGUAGCCACAAGUGAAGCAUGGUAGUUUCUGACAACUAUGGGGUGAAUGAGCUCCUUAUUCACUGAAAAAUGUAUUUUCCAUUUUAAAGAUAUAUAUAUAUUUGUCAUGAUUGUAAUGCUCAUUCCAAUGAAAUAGUUUAUAAUUGGCAUUUCUUCUAAGAUGGCUAUGAGAGCAGAGGUACCACAUUUAUUUGUAAAAGGCAAAACUAGCAGACUCAAUUGUCACUAUUAGCAAAGGAGAAACUUGGCCUACCAGGAAACAAGGGUAUUUCCAUGUUCAGGUGCCAAUUCAACUUAAUUAAAGGCAAUCAAACAAGCUAAUGGUUAUGUUAAGUAAUAAAAUUAGAAAAUAAGGCAAGGUCAAAUACAUAGAAACAAAUUAUUCCAAGGAAAGCAAUUGCCUAAGGAGUAGUAAAAAAAAAUGAGGUAUAAGUGUGUUACCUACAUAAGCCAGAGAGACACCUCUUCAUUCAAAGGUGCCAGGAAAAUGAAUUUGUUCUGCACAUCUUUUUUUUUUCUUUUCUUUUUUUAUGCCAUUUUUUUUAUCGAGCUAUACAUUUUUCCCACUCCCUUUUCCUCUUCUCCCCUCCCCUUCCACCUUCCACCUUGCCCCCCCACUCCUAAUUUACUCAGAAGAUUUUGAAUUUUUUCCCCUUCCUAGGUGGAUCCAUGUAUGACUCUCUUAGUGUCUUCUUUGUUACUUAGGUUCUCUGAGAUUAUGGCCUGUAGGCUGGUUGUCCUUUGCUUUAUGUCUAAUAUCCACUUAUGAGUGAGUAUAUAUUAUGUUUGGCUUUCUGGGUCUGGGUUACCUAACUCAGGAUUUUUUUUCUUGUUUCAUCCAUUUUCCUGCAAAUUUCAAGAUGUCAUUGUUUUUUACCACUUAGUACUCCAUUGUGUAAAUGUACCACAUUUUCCUUAUCCAUUCUUUGAUUGAGGGGCAUAUAGGUUGAUUCCAGGUUCUGGUUAUUACGAAUAAUGCUGCAAUGAACAUAGUUGGACAGAUGUCCUUGUUGCAUGAAUGUGCAUCCUUUGGAUAUCUAAAAGUGGUACUGUUGGGACUUGAGGUAGAUUGAUUCCCAAUUUUCUGAGAAACUGCCACACUGAUUUUCCAGGUAGCUGUACAAGUUUGCACUCCACCAUCAAUAGAAGAGUGUUCCCCUGACUCCACAUCCUCUCCAACACAAGCUGCUAUCCGAAUUCUGAUCUUGGCCCUUCUGAGAGUUCAAGCUUCAACCAUUCCGUUUGGAGCACAUGUUCUCUGCUUUAGGUGAGCCACCAGAGGCAUACUGCGAUUCUCAAGCCAGGAAGUUAGAGAAUACAGAGUAAUGUCGGCGAACCUGAACUGAUGAGCAGCAGACAUUCCUGAGAUGACACCAGUUCCUGGCACACACAUGGCAGCCUUUGCUUUCAAGCUAAUGUUCCCACACAGCCAAUAAGGACCUGCCUGACAGCAAUCCCUGGACACCCUGGAAAGAAAAUGGGCCACAGCUCCUCGACUGCACUGGAUCCAACUUGCUCCAUUUCAACUGACUGACUUCAAUCAAGUUGAGGAUUUCAAGUGAGAUCUUCAAUCAAGUGAAUCCCAUCUAACAUGGACUGGAUACUAACAUUUUCUUUCUACAGGACCCCACAUGACUAUCAUCGUCCCAUUUCAGCAGGAAGUAACUUGGAGAAUGCUACGCCCCCUUUCCCCAUUGUUGUCACUUAGGAUAGUGUAUAUACCUUGUUAGGAAUAGCUUCCUAUUGUUUAUGGUUCGGUUUGGAAGGAGGUGUUCAGGCUUGGACACCUCUUUCAGAUGACUUUAGGGUUUAGUUAAAAUAGAUAGUUAGGAGGUGACAUAAGCAGAUUGUUGUAUCUUCUUAUAUUUUACCUUUAUACUGUUAAGUUUUAAUCCUCUUUUAGACUAAAAGGGGAAUUGUAGGGGAAGCUGUAGCCACGCCUUCUUAGGGGCUGGCUACA